rnacentral:rRNA from 1 species
AGUGAACGCUGGCGGUAGGCCUAACACAUGCAAGUCGAACGGCAGCACAGUAAGAGCUUGCUCUUACGGGUGGCGAGUGGCGGACGGGUGAGGAAUACCUCGGAAUCUACUUUUUCGUGGGGGAUAACGUAGGGAAACAUACGCUAAUACCGCAUACGACCUACGGGUGAAAGCAGGGGAUCUUCGGACCUUGCGCGAUUGAAUGAGCCGAUGUCGGAUUAGCUAGUUGGCGGGGUAAAGGCCCACCAAGGCGACGAUCCGUAGCUGGUCUGAGAGGAUGAUCAGCCACACUGGAACUGAGACACGGUCCAGACUCCUACGGGAGGCAGCAGUGGGGAAUAUUGGACAAUGGGCGCAAGCCUGAUCCAGCCAUACCGCGUGGGUGAAGAAGGCCUUCGGGUUGUAAAGCCCUUUUGUUGGGAAAGAAAAGCAGCAGGUUAAUACCCCGCUGUUCUGACGGUACCCAAAGAAUAAGCACCGGCUAACUUCGUG